AGCGAACAUUGGCGGUAGGCUUAACACAUGCAAGUCGAGCGAGGCGUAAUAGUCGAGCGGCGAACGGGUGAGUAAUACAUGGGAAUCUACCUCGAAGUGGGGGAUAACAGCCAGAAAUGGCUGCUAAUACCGCAUAAUCCGGGAACGGGAAAGCGCGCUGCGCUUUGAGAUGAGCCCAUGGCUGAUUAGCUAGUUGGUGGGGUAAAGGCCUACCAAGGCGACGAUCAGUAGCUGGUCUGGGAGGAUGAUCAGCCACACUGGAACUGAGACACGGUCCAGACUCCUACGGGAGGCAGCAGUGGGGAAUCUUGCGCAAUGGGGGCAACCCUGACGCAGCCAUACCGCGUGUGCGAUGAAGGUCUUCGGAUUGUAGAGCACUUUCAGUAGGGACGACGAUGACGGUACCUACAGAAGAAGUCACGGCUAACUUCGUGCCAGCCGCCGCGGUAA
rnacentral:rRNA from 1 species